rnacentral:lncRNA from 1 species
UGGGAUCUGGGUGGGGUUUGGUGGGAUGUGGGUGGGAUGCGCGUCUUCGCCGUCAACGCCAUCGGGGUGUCGCAGCCCAGCCACAACACGCAGCCCUUCAUGCCCAUCGGUAUGGGGCAGGGGGGGUUUGUAGGGUUUUUGAUGGGAUUUGUUGGGAUCUCAAUGGGAUUUGUUGGGAUCUCAAUGGGAUCUGAUGGGAUUUGUUGGGAUCUGGAUGGGAUUUGUUGGGUUCUCGAUGGGUUUUGUUGGGUCCUGGAUGGGAUUUGUUGGGUUUUGUUGGGUCCUGGAUGGGAUUUGUUGGGUUUUGUUGGGUCCUGGAUGGGAUUUGUUGGGAUCUCAAUGGGAUUUGUUCAGUUCUCAAUGGGUUUUGUUGGGUCCUGGAUGGGAUUUGUUGGGAUCUCAAUGGGAUUAGUUCAGUUC